rnacentral:rRNA from 1 species
UUGAACGCUGGCGGCAGGCCUAACACAUGCAAGUCGAGCGCGAAAGUUCUUCGGAAUGAGUAAAGCGGCGGACGGGUGAGUAACGCGUGGGAAUCUGCCUAGUAGUGGGGGACAACAGCCGGAAACGGCUGCUAAUACCGCAUACGCCCUACGGGGGAAAGGGGGGGAUCUUCGGACCUCUCGCUAUUAGAUGAGCCCGCGUCGGAUUAGCUAGUUGGUAGGGUAAAGGCCUACCAAGGCUACGAUCCGUAACUGGUCUGAGAGGAUGAUCAGUCACACUGGAACCGAGACACGGGCCAGACUCCUACGGGAGGCAGCAGUGGGGAAUAUUGGACAAUGGGGGCAACCCUGAUCCCGCCAUGCCGCGUGUGUGAAGAAGGCCUUAGGGUUGUAAAGCACUUUCAGUGGGGAGAAAGGUUUGUCACCUAAUACGUGAUGAAAUUGAUGUUACCCACAGAAGAAGCACCGGCUAACUCCGUGCCAGCCGCCGCCGUAA